rnacentral:rRNA from 1 species
UACGUAGGUGGCAAGCGUUGUCCGGAUUUAUUGGGUUUAAAGGGUGCGUAGGCGGCUUUGUAAGUCAGUGGUGAAAUAUGGCAGCUCAACUGUCAGGGUGCCAUUGAUACUGCGGAGCUUGAGUACAGAUGAGGUAGGCGGAAUUGACGGUGUAGCGGUGAAAUGCUUAGAUAUCGUCAAGAACACCGAUAGCGAAGGCAGCUUACUAGGCUGUAACUGACGCUGAGUCACGAAAGUGUGGGGAUCAAACAGG